rnacentral:rRNA from 1 species
AUUGAACGCUGGCGGCAGGCCUAACACAUGCAAGUCGAACGAGUGGCGGACGGGCGAGUAAUGUCUGGGAAACUGCCCGAUGGAGGGGGAUAACUACUGUAAACGGUAGCUAAUACCGCAUACCAUCGGAUGUGCCCAGAUGGGAUUAGCUAGUAGGUGGGGUAAUUGCUCACCUAGGCGACGAUCCCUAGCUGGUCUGCGAGGUUGACCAGACACACUGGAACUGAGACACGGUCCAGAAUCCUACGGGAGGCAGCAGUGGGGAAUAUUGCACAAUGGGCGCAAGCCUGAUGGAGCCAUGCAGAGUGUAUGAAGAAGGCCUUCGGGUUGUAAAGUACUGUCAGCGAGGAGGCGUUACUCGCAGAAGAAGCACCGGCUAACUCCGUGCCAGCAGCCGCGGUAAUUC